rnacentral:rRNA from 1 species
CCUACGGGAGGCAGCAGUGGGGAAUCUUCCGCAAUGGGCGAAAGCCUGACGGAGCAACGCCGCGUGAUCGAAUGAAGGCCCUCGGGUUGUAAAGAUCUGUUGACAGGGACGAAUAAGCCAUGCGAAUAGUUUGGUGUAUGACGGUACCUGUUUAGAAAGCUCCGGCUAACUACGUGCCAGCAGCCGCGGUAAUACGGAGGGAGCAAGCGUUGUCCGGAAUUACUGGGCGUAAAGGGCGCGUAGGUGGGUGCUAAAGUCAGGUGUGAAAGCUCGGGGCUCAACCUGGGGACUGCACUUGAAACUGGGUAUCUUGAGGGCAGGAGAGGAAAGUGGAAUUCCUAGUGUAGCGGUGAAAUGCGUAGAUAUUAGGAGGAACACCAGUGGCGAAGGCGACUUUCUGGACUGUACCUGACGCUGAGGAGCGAAAGCGAGGGUAGCGAACGGGAUUAGAUACCCUAGUAGUC